GGUGUCAUCUGCAAACUUCAGGAGUUUGACAGAAGGGUCUGUAGAGGUGCAUUCGUUUGUGUAGAGUGAAUAUAGCAGUGGAGAAAGAACACAUCCUUGAGGAGCUCCGGUGCUGAUGGUACAUGUGCUGGAUUUAAAUUUUCCCAACCUCACUAGCUGCUGCCUGUUCGACAGGAAGUUAAUAAUCCACUGACAGGUAGAGGUUGGCACAGAGAGCUGGGUAAGCUUGGGCAGGAGGAGGUCUGGGAUUAUGGUGUUGAAGGCCGAGCUGAAGUCUACAAACAGGAUCCUGACGUAAGUCCCUGGUCUGUCUAGGUGUUGUAGGAUGUAAUGCAGUCCCAUGUUUACUGCAUCGUCCACAGACCUGUUUGCUCGGUAAGCAAACUGGAGGGGAUCAAGAAGUGGUCUGGUGAUGUCCUUCAGGUGGGCCAGUACAAGUCUCUCAAAUGACUUCAUGACCACAGAUGUUAAAGCAACAGGCCUGUAGUCAUUAAGUCCAGAUAUUUUGGGUUUCUUCUGUACAGGGAUGAUGGUGGAGCGUUUGAAGCAUGAAGGGACUUCACACUGCUCCAAAGAUCUGUUAAAAAUAUUAGUGAAGAUGGGCGACAGCUGCUCCGCACAGACUUUCAGGCAGGAGGGUGAGACAUUGUCUGGGCCUGGUGCUUUUCUGAUCUUUUGUUUGCGGAAAAGCUGGCAAACAUCCUCUUCGCAGAUCUUAAGUGCAGGUUGAAUGUCAAGAGGAGGUGUUAAUGGUAUAGCAGAGAUAGGGUCAGGGCGGGUGUGAAGGGUGAGACUCUGCAUUUCAAAACGACAAUAGAAGUCGUUCAGGUCGUCAGCCAGUCGUUGAUUACCCAUAGACUGAGGGGAUGAUGGCUUGUAGUUGGUAAUGUCUUUCAGGCCUUUCCACACCGAUGCAGGGUCGUUGGUUGAAAACUGGUUCUUCAGCUUUUCAGAGUAGCUUCUCUUAGCUGCUCUUAUCUCCUUUGUCAGUGUGUUUUUGGCCUGAUUAUACAAGACUUUGUCCCCACUUCUGUAAGCAUCUUCUUUGGCCUGACGAAGCUGUCUCAGUUUCAUUGUAAACCAUGGUUUGUCAUUGUUGUAUGUUAAGCGAGUCCUGGUGGGAAUACACAUGUCCUCACAGAAGCUGAUGUAGGAUGUCACUGUGUCAGUUAACUCAUCCAGAUCAGUGGCUGCAGCUUCAAAGACACUCCAAUCCGUGCAGUCGAAACAGGCUUGUAAGGCCCGCUCUGUUUCGCUGCUCCAUCUCUUUGCUGUUCUUGCUACAGGCUUGGCAGAUUUAAGCUUCUGUCUGUAGGUCGGAAGAAGAUGAACCAGGCAAUGAUCAGAGAGACCCAGAGCUGCUCUGGGAACAGAGUGGUAUGCAUCCCGUAUUGUGGUGUAACAGUGAUCCAGAAUGUUGCUGUCUCUGGUGGGGCAUGUGAUAUGCUGCCUGUAUUUUGGCAGCUCACGGGAGAGGUUUGCUCUGUUAAAGUCCCCAAUAAUUAAACCAAGAAGCCUUGGUUUAAGCCCCAGCUGAUGAGUAGAAGUAGGAGGAGCCUGCCUGCCACCAAGAAGGUGGAGCAUCACCAGUAAGAGGUUGGAGCAGGAGCCUGCCUGACAAGAUGAGGUCAGUGUUUCAAGCUGUGGGGUGGUGGGGUUGUUUGUAACUGUGGGCCCUGUAUGUAGCCUGGCGUGUUUGAAUGUUCCAACUUUUCUUAUGUGUUGCAGAUGUAUGAAGAAAAAGAGUACAUUUCCCGAGAGAACUGACAUUGGUGUGCAGGCCUCAGUGGAUAAAGAGCACCAAGAGGAGGAGGAGGAGCCUGAGACCAGGGAGGUGGAGCAACACCAGUGAGAGGAGGGCAAAAUAUUGGGAUCUGGCACAUAACCCCCCUGUUCACACGCUCUGGAAUCUCGGGGAGAGACACGCUCCGGUGUUUCCCCCCUUCUGUGGGUACCCAUUUAUGGACGCUUGGGUCACCACCCUGCGUGUUACGGUCAACAUGUGCUGGUCAGCCACCUGGCCUUGAACACUGAACCUCUCGAUUCAGUGUCAGUGCUCAUACCUCCUGAGCCACUUGGUCCUGCACAUUUUAUGACAAUUCUCCUGGCGUAUUCAUCUUUUGUUUGUUUUAGAUACGAAGGAAAAAUGCACAAGCAAGCAAAGUCUAACCUGGUCUUGAACCCUGAACCACCAGGUCCAGCAUCAGUGCUCAUACCCCCUGAGCCACUUGGGCCUGUACACUUGUGAUAUUUCUCCUGGCGUGUUCAUCUUUCGUUUUAUGUUUUAGAUACGUAGGAAAAAUGCAAAUGCAUGCAGAGUCUUACCUGGUCUUGAACCCUGAACUACCUGGUCCACUGUCAGUGCUCUUACCACUGAGCCCUGCACACUUGUGACAGUUUUACUGGCGUGUUCAUCUUUUGUUAUACAUUUUAGAUACGUAGGGAAAAUGCAGAAGCAUGCAUACCUUAGCAACCAGAACCUCGUAACCAAGCAUUAUACCUCCUCUCUUUUUGCAUACAAGCCUGGUCCGCAUAAGAUAUGUUAGAUAGCGCUCAUAAUUCAUUGUGCUGGGUUCAAACCCUGGCCUGUUCAGUUCAGAUACAGUGCCAUUACCCUCUGAGCCACUGGAGCUGACAUAGUAUAGGCCUGGUAAAUUUAUUUUUCAUACAGAUCUGGACACACAGAAUGAAUUACAGCCCUCAAAGCUCAGCAAGUUGGGUUUGAACUCUAAACCACUAGAUCCAGGACUCUGAUGUUUCUGAUGAGUUUUGUCACCA